UGAGGAAUAUUGGGCAAUGCCCGCAAGGGUGACCCAGCAACGCCGCGUGGAGGAUGAAUGUCGUAAGAUUGUAAACUCCUGUUAGAGGGGAAGAAUAGUACCGGUUGGACCGGUAUAUGACUGUACCCUCAGAGAAAGCCCCGGCUAACUACGUGCCAGCAGCCGCGGUAAUCCGUAGGGGGCAAGCGUUGUCCGGAUUUACUGGGUGUAAAGGGCGCGCAGGCGGGAUAAAAAGUCAGUGGUGAAAUCCUACAGCUUAACUGUAGAACUGUCUUUGAUACUUUUAUUCUUGAGUUCGGGAGAGAGAGACGGAAUUCCUGGUGUAGUGGUGAAAUACGUAGAUAUCUGGAAGAACACCAGUUGCGAAGGCGGUCUCUUGGUCCGACACUGACGCUGAGGCGCGAAAGCGUGGGGAGCAAA
rnacentral:rRNA from 1 species